GACGAACCGUGCGAACGUUAUUCGGAAUCACUGGGCUUAAAGGGCGCGUAGGCGGGCUCGUAAGUCAGGGGUGAAAUCCCACGGCCCAACCGUGGAAGUGCCUCUGAUACUGCGGGCCUCGAGGGGGAUAGGGCGUGCGGAACUCAGGGUGGAGCGGUGGAAUGCGUAGAGAUCCGGAGGAAGACCGGUGGCGAAGGCGGUCUGCUGGGCAGUUCUGACACUGAUGCGCGACAGCGUGGGGAGCAAACAGG
rnacentral:rRNA from 1 species